rnacentral:rRNA from 1 species
AGGAAAUAGAUACCCGGGUAGUCCACGCCGUAAACGAUGAGAACUAGAUGUUGGGUGGCUUAGACCAUUUAGUAUCGCAGCAAAAACGCGUUAAGUUCUCCGCCUGGGGAGUACGGUCGCAAGAUUAAAACUCAAAGGAAUUGACGGGGGCCCGCACAAGCGGUGGAGCAUGUGGUUUAAUUCGAUGCAACGCGAAGAACCUUACCUACCUUUGAAUCCACGGAAUUCUACAGAGAUGUAGAAGUGCCCUCGGGAACCGUGAGACAGGUGCUGCAUGGCUGUCGUCAAACUCGUGUCGUGAGAUGUUGGGUUAAGUCCCGUAACGAGCGCAACCCUUGUCCUUAGUUACCAGCGAGUCAUGUCGGGGACUUUAAGGAGACUGCCGGUGAUAAACCGGUAGGAAGGUGGGGAUGACGUCAAGUCCUCAUGGCCCGUUACAGGUAGGGCUACACACGUGCUACAAUGGCGGUACAAAGGGUUAGCCAACCCGGCGAGGGGUAGCUAAUCUCAAAACGCCGGUCGUAGUCCGGAUUGGAGUCUGCAACUCGACUCCAUGAAGCUGGAAUC